GCUGGGCACAGUUUCUCAUGCCUGUAAUCCCAGCACUUUGGGAGGCCGAGGCAGGUGGAUCACCUGAGGUCAGGAGUUCAAGACCAGCUGGCCAACCUGGUGAAACCCCGUCUCUACUAAAAAUAAAAAAAUUAGCUGGGCGUGGUGGCAAUCGCCUGUUAUCCCAGCUUCUCAGGAGGCUNNNNNNNNNNAGCCUCCUGAGAAGCUGGGAUAACAGGCGAUUGCCACCACGCCCAGCUAAUUUUUUUAUUUUUAGUAGAGACGGGGUUUCACCAGGUUGGCCAGCUGGUCUCGAACUCCUGACCUCAGGCAAUCCGCCUGCCUCAA
rnacentral:SRP_RNA from 1 species